AUUGAACGCUGGCGGCAGGCCUAACACAUGCCAGUCGAACGGUAACAGGAAGAAGCUUGCUUCUUUGCUGACGAGUGGCGGACGGGUGAGUAAUGUCUGGGAAACUGCCUGAUGGAGGGGGAUAACUACUGGAAACGGUAGCUAAUACCGCAUAACGUCGCAAGACCAAAGAGGGGGACCUUCGGGCCUCUUGCCAUCGGAUGUGCCCAGAUGGGAUUAGCUAGUAGGUGGGGUAACGGCUCACCUAGGCGACGAUCCCUAGCUGGUCUGAGAGGAUGACAGGCCAACCUGAAACGGGAGAACGGGCCCACACCCCAGGGGGGGCAGGAGGGGGGAAAAUUGAAAAAGGGGGGCAAGCCUGAAGGAGCCAUGCCGGGUGUAUGAAGAAGGCCUUGGGGUUGUAAAGUACUUUCCGGGGGGGGGAAGGGAGGAAAGUUAAUACCUUGGCCCAUUGGCGUUACCCGCAAAAGAAGCACCGGCUACCUCCGU
rnacentral:rRNA from 1 species